AUUGAACGCUGGCGGAAUGCUUUACACAUGCAAGUCGAACGGCAGCACGGGGGCAACCCUGGUGGCGAGUGGCGAACGGGUGAGUAAUACAUCGGAACGUGCCCAGUCGUGGGGGAUAACUACGCGAAAGCGUAGCUAAUACCGCAUACGAACUCUGGUUGAAAGCGGGGGAUCGCAAGACCUCGCGCGAUUGGAGCGGC
rnacentral:rRNA from 1 species